GAAGAGGUGGCUCAGUGGUUAAGAGCAUUUGUUUUCACAGAGGGCCUGGGUUUGAUUCCCAGCAUUCA
rnacentral:tRNA from 1 species